CCUACGGGGGGCAGCAGUGAGGAAUAUUGGUCAAUGGACGAGAGUCUGAACCAGCCAAGUAGCGUGAAGGAUGACUGCCCUAUGGGUUGUAAACUUCUUUUAUAUGGGAAUAAAACGUUCCACGUGUGGGAUUUUGUAUGUACCAUAUGAAUAAGGAUCGGCUAACUCCGUGCCAGCAGCCGCGGUAAUACGGAGGACCCGAGCGUUAUCCGGAUUUAUUGGGUUUAAAGGGAGCGUAGGUGGAUUGUUAAGUCAGUUGUGAAAGUUUGCGGCUCAACCGUAAAAUUGCAGUUGAAACUGGCAGUCUUGAGUACAGUAGAGGUGGGCGGAAUUCGUGGUGUAGCGGUGAAAUGCUUAGAUAUUACGAAGAACUCCGAUUGCGAAGGCAGUUCACUGGACUGCAACUGACACUGAGGCUCGAAAGUGUGGGUAUCAAACAGGAUUAGAUACCCGAGUAGUC
rnacentral:rRNA from 1 species